UACGGAGGGUGCAAGCGUUAUCCGGAUUCACUGGGCUUAAAGGGUGUGUAGGCGGGUAUUUAAGUCAGUGGUGAAAUCUCCAGGCUCAACCUGGAAACUGCCAUUGAUACUAUAUAUCUUGAAUCUUGUUGAGGUGGGCGGAAUAUGUCAUGUAGCGGUGAAAUGCAUAGAUAUGACAUAGAACACCAAUUGCGAAGGCAGCUCACAAAGCAAGUAUUGACGCUGAGGCACGAAAGCGUGGGGAUCAAACAGG
rnacentral:rRNA from 1 species